GGGGUAUUAGCUCAGUUGGCUAGAGCGCUUCCAUGGCAUGGAAGAGGUCGAGGGUUCGAGUCCCUCAUACUCCACCA
rnacentral:tRNA from 1 species